CGAGGGAGAUAGGACGAGAUGCCAGUAACUGACUCAUCGUAGUGGUAUGUUGAUGCUGCUGUUACUGGUGUAAAUUACAAACAGUGUAGAGUGCCACGAAAGAGUCUAAGUUGGAAGGCAUGCUAGAGUAUUGUGCCGUUCUCUUGCACUGGUCAGGUUUUAAUGUUGAGUUCAGAUGUUGAUCGACUGUGGAUACGGUGGAGUCCGACCCGUCGGCGUAGAUUCUGGAUAACCUUGGAGAAACUGUUCCAGUAAUGGAUGGCGAUCCAACCCCACUUGACCUAGAACCUGAUUGCAGCUAGGAGGUUGCAAUUUCAGGACACUGCGUCCGUGAGCUUUGAUUAAUUUUUCCCUUUGCCCAAGGGAUCAGGUAGAACUGUGUGUACAUUGACACUUGUUUCCUUUGGAGGAGGACACGCAGACUGCACUGACUCGGUACUCGGUAAACCGAGGGACCGUGAACUCUGUCUCACCAAGACCCGAGUUUAGUUAAGUUAGUAGUUCAAUGUGAUCUGAUUUGAGUACCACAUUGUUUGAAAGAUGUUGUGUUAACUUAAUAAUUGUGUAGUGUACAUAUACUGUAUUCUUCUGAUAAUUGUUUAGUGUAUAAGUUUGGGAUUCUAAUUUGUUAUUUAUUUUAUUUCCUGACUGUUAUAUUUGUUCCUACUGGGUAUUUUAUACAAUAUACGAAGUUAACUUAA